AUAUUCCUGACUACGGAUUAACGGCCAAUCAUAUGAUGUUUCCCCUUAUCGCUCAAAACGUCAGCCCGUGGCGACGUGUGUCACGAACGUCUCGGCGCUCCGCUACUUAGUUUGCUCGUCCAUUUUUCGUUUCGUCUCUAGACCUCUUCACGAGACUUUGUCAUCAUACAUUACCAUGAUACCAUCAUAAUUCGUAAAUCAUACGGUCAUUUAAUACAAUUUUAUUCGUCUAAAACACUCCCGUACUGUGCGGGUUUGCAUAUUUUCUGCCAAUAAAAAUGGUCGCAUACCUUGGCAUGUUUCCUGUCCUGAUGGUGCCUCAAACGAACUAAUGGAGUGAGUCCCGACCUGGUCCGCUGGGCGAACAUCCUCGGGCGAGAUGAUUGGUAAUAUAUAUAUAUAUAUAUAUAUAUAGUUUAAUAAUUGGCCGAUACCCCGUUUAGUUAGGUAGUUUUAAGUUGCUUUAGUUAAUGUCCCUCGUUUAAAUACUUUGUUUAAAAUGUUUUUUUUUUCUCCCGAACAAUCGUUUGUUCAAUAUCAUGCACACACUUCCCAACACAAUAUUUUCCCGUUUGUAUACGCGUCCUACAGUCCGCGUUGUGUAUGUUAAAGCCGUGUAUGAUAUAAUAUUUCGUCUAAGUUAAAUUCUUUCGUUAUACCUACGGGGAUCAAUCAGCGUUUAUCAAGUUUGUGCGUCCGUCUCAAUGCAGUAAUCCCCGCGUUCCACAUCCUAUGUGCAAUAGGCGAACACCCCCCCCCCCCCCCGCAUUUUUUAUUUUUUAUUUUUUGUAUCCCCUUUUGGGCCCUCAGCUUCAUAACCACGUGUGUGUGUGUGUGUGUGUAUAUUUAAAAAAAUCUAUAUAAUAUCGAUCGAUUUCCCCAUCUCGCGAUCCAUGUUCGGACCCACCCCGCAGGUUAACCCGUACGGCCACCAUAACCACGGACCAAUCUGGAAUAAAAGCUUUCAGCUACCCUUCCCGGUUGUAAUAUGUGUGAUCUGGCGAACAUCACAUCCCUGCUGUGGUCUCCCAAUAUAUUUAAUUUGUGUCCACGAAAUUCCACGUGGAGGUCCGUCUCUAAAUAUAUAUGUAUCGCUCUACGAAACAUGCAUAUUAUUUGAUACGUUAUUUUUGAUACCUUGGGUUAAAUUAUUAAUUUUUAUUUAGAGGUUUCUAUUUCUUUUUAAAUAAAAUCAGUCCAUGUUACUCUCUGAUAAUGUAGCUUUUUUAAGGCGAAAGAAAUUUUAAAAUCAGUAGUUUUUGAGCUUAUUUAUUACUAACAAAUAUUUUCUCAUUAUAAUAUUAGACUAUAGGUAUAACUGUAAAUUAUAAUUACAUAGCGUGUGGUUGGUGUACUUAUAUGCUUAAUCGACGAUAGAAUCCUUGUGAAUAAAACAUAAUAAAAUACUUAUAAAACAGAAAAUGAAUAAGUAUAUUAUAAUAUUUUUUAUAAUACGUCCUUGCGGUUCUAUUUGCCCACAUAGUCUAAUUAUUGGCGUAGUCGCCGUUUGCCUUUCUACCUAGUAACAAUAUUUUAAUCCCAAUAUUCGUUCACACAAUCAUUUAUAGUAGUAAAAACAUAAUAAUGUGUUAAAUUUUAAAAUCGUAUGUUAUCAUUUUGUGGCGUAGGUAAAGGUACUUUAUACAACUGCAUUGUUAUUCGAUAUUUUUCUUAAUUUUAGAAUUUUUAGACAUAUCCAUUGCAAUAUUAACUUUUUCAUAAAAUUUGUUUGAACAUUUUCGAAUUUUAAUUAAUAUAAAUAUCUUAUGUGUUGCGUGUUCAUUUUGUUUUCAUAAGUUUUUUGAAAUCAUGAUUAUACGUUGUUAAAGCAAUUAACAACUCCGUUAAAUGAUCAUUCAUUAAAAUUGAGUGAUAUUUAGUUUUUAUUAUUUUCAUUGCUGCGUUCAAAGACUCGCAAGAAUAUGUUGUUCCAAAAAUUCUCCACAUUUUAUUACAUACUUUGGUAUCUUAUCUUAUCUACGAUAAUCAUAUGCAUACACACACACACAUAUAUAUAUAUAUAUAUAUAUAUAUAUAUGUAUAUAUUAAUAUGACCUUAUUUUCAUUUCAGCUCUUUAUUAUUUAUAUAUUGGACGGUUUGCGAGUCUCUUCUCGCUGGCCACCCACCCCUGUUAUAUAGUUAUCAAAUUUUAAUAUUUUAACCGAAACGCAUAAUUAUAUAGACACUCAUCAAAAAUUAGUAUUAAAAAAAUAAAAUAAGGAAAAUAAAUAUUUCAAUAAAAAAAAAAAAAAAAAAAAAAAAAAAUAACAAACUCGUGUCCCAACAGCUAAGAAGCGUGGGACGGUUCUUCGAAUUGUGUACCAGGAGUGUAUGAAGUAGCAACGACCAUGUACCUAGUGUAACGGGGCAUCGCACUUUUAUCGUUAAAGUGCUCGCCACCAAAUGGCGGUGGAGGUGAGGACCGACCGCAAUACCUGCGGCAGUUCUGCGACGAAUUACCAGGAACGCAUAAUAUUGAGUUGUGUCACUGCGUACUGCCGAACGUGGGAGGUGAGAAUAAUUUCUAGAAAAAAAAAGAAAGAAAAUAGAGAUACGAACAUUUUUCGCACGAUGGGUGGGCCACUGUUGAAGGUGAGAAGUUAAGAAGUUAGGAUCCGAGUAAUACAUGUUUAUAAAAUGUCAUUAGAAUAUAAAAUACAUAUUGUUUUAUUUAUAAAUUAUUCAUUAUUGUUUUAUAUAUUAAAUAAUAUAAUAUAAUUUAUAUAA
rnacentral:lncRNA from 1 species